rnacentral:rRNA from 1 species
AGAGUUUGAUCCUGGCUCAGGAUGAACGCUAGCUACAGGCUUAACACAUGCAAGUCGAGGGGAAACGAUAUUGGAAGCUUGCUUCCGAUAGGCGUCGACCGGCGCACGGGUGAGUAACGCGUAUCCAACCUGCCCACCACUUGGGGAUAACCUUGCGAAAGUAAGACUAAUACCCAAUGAUAUCUCUAGAAGACAUCUGAAAGAGAUUAAAGAUUUAUCGGUGAUGGAUGGGGAUGCGUCUGAUUAGCUUGUUGGCGGGGUAACGGCCACCAAGGCGACGAUCAGGUAGGGGUUCUGAGAGGAAGGUCCCCCACAUUGGAACUGAGACACGGUCCAAAACUCUACGGGAGCA